rnacentral:rRNA from 1 species
GUCCACGCUGUAAACGAUGGGCACUAGGUGUUCGGGGUAUUGACCCCCCGAGUGCCGCAGCUAACGCAUUAAGUGCCCCGCCUGGGGACUACGGCCGCAAGGCUAAAACUCAAAGGAAUUGACGGGGGCCCGCACAAGCGGUGGAGCAUGUGGUUUAAUUCGACGCAACGCGAAGAACCUUACCUGGGCUAGACAACAUCGGACAGCCCCAGAAAUGGGGUCUCCCCGCAAGGGGCCGGUGGUUCAGGUGCUGCAUGGCUGUCGU